GGAGGGGCUCGAGCCCGGUCUGUUGCAAGGGCGUCGGGCAGAGGCUGGAGGUUGCCGAAAUUCGAUUUGGAGCAGAUCGGGUCUGAACAAGGUCGUGAUCUGAACGACGGAAGAAGAAGGUGAUCGGGUCUGGACGAACUGGCAGUCGAAAGAAUGAUCUAUGCGUGCGAGCUAGUUGAGGCCGGUCUGGCAGGCUGUGGGACGCGCACUGGAGGCCGGUGGGUUGUGGAACGAGCGCUGGAGGCCGAUCUGGCCGGUGAGGACGUUGCUGGGCUUGCUCCUCACAGGGGAUUGCUGGGGAAUGCCGCGUGCAGGUGGG
rnacentral:lncRNA from 1 species